UUUUGCUGGCUUUUUAAAAAAGAUUCUUCUGAGAAAGAUUAAUACAAGUCUUCCAUUACUGACUUAAGUGAAAUAAAUUAAUGUACCCACAGCUUACCUUUUUUGAAAGAAAUGGUUGAGCUUUAGGAUUAAUGUCCAUUAGGCCUGUUCAACACAUAGAUACUUGAUAAUUUGACUACAAAAAAGUCUUGUUGCAGUGAGCUGAGAUCGCACCAUUGCACUCCAGCCUGGGCAACAAGAGUGAAACUCCAUCUCAAAAGAAAAAAAAAAGCGGCUGGGCUCUGUGGCUCAUGCUUGUAACCCCAGCACUUUGGGAGGCCAAGAGGUGGAUCACCUGAGGUCAAGAAUUUGAGACCAACCUGGCCAACAUGGUGAAACCCCAUCUGUACUAAACAUACAAAAAUUAGCCAAGUGUGGUGGCGCACGCCUGUAGUCCCAGAAGGCUGAAGCAGGAGAAUUACUUGAACCCUGGAGGUGGAGGUUGCGGUGAGCUGAGAUCGUGCCACUGCACUCCAGCCUGGGCGACAGAGCGAGACUCUGCCUCAAAAAAAAAUUAAAAAAAAAAAGCUUUAUAAUUAUAGAGACUGUAAGUCUUGGGAAACCUGGGAAUGCAUAGACAAAAUGUGAGAUUUUUUUUUUUUCAUUUCAUCUUCAGGGUCUUUACGGAAUAAAGGAUGAUGUCUUCCUUAGUGUUCCUUGCAUUUUGGGACAGAAUGGAAUCUCAGACCUUGUGAAGGUGACUCUGACUUCUGAGGAAGAGGCCCGUUUGAAGAAGAGUGCAGAUACACUUUGGGGGAUCCAAAAGGAGCUGCAAUUUUAAAGUCUUCUGAUGUCAUAUCAUUUCACUGUCUAGGCUACAACAGGAUUCUAGGUG
rnacentral:lncRNA from 1 species